GAUGAAGAACGUAGCGAAAUGCGACAAGUAAUGUGAAUUGCAGAAUUCAGUGAAUCAUCGAAUCUUUGAACGCACAUUGCGCCCGCCAGUAUUCUGGCGGGCAUGCCUGUUCGAGCGUCAUUUCAACCAUCAAGCCCCGGGCUUGUGUUGGGGACCUGCGGCUGCCGCAGGCCCUGAAAUGCAGUGGCGGGCUCGCUGUCACUCCGAGCGUAGUAGUUACAUCUCGCUCUGGGCGUGCUGCGGGUUCCGGCCGUUAAAAGCCUUAUUUACCCAAGGUUGACCUCGGAUCAGGUAGGAAGACCCGCUGAACUUAAGCAUAUCAAUAAGCGGAGGA
rnacentral:misc_RNA from 1 species